AUUGAACGCUGGCGGCAUGCCUUACACAUGCAAGUCGAACGGUAACAGGUCUUCGGAUGCUGACGAGUGGCGAACGGGUGAGUAAUACAUCGGAACGUGCCUAGUAGUGGGGGAUAACUACUCGAAAGAGUGGCUAAUACCGCAUGAAAUCUACGGAUGAAAGCAGGGGAUCGCAAGACCUUGUGCUACUAGAGGGGCAGAUGGCAGAUUAGGUAGUUGGUGGGAUAAAAGCUUACCAAGCCGACGAUCUGUAGCUGGUCUGAGAGGACGAUCAGCCACACUGGGACUGAGACACGGCCCAGACUCCUACGGGAGGCAGCAGUGGGGAAUUUUGGACAAUGGGCGCAAGCCUGAUCCAGCAAUGCCGCGUGCAGGAUGAAGGCCUUCGGGUUGUAAACUGCUUUUGUACGGAACGAAAAGCCCUGGGUUAAUACCCUGGGGUCAUGACGGUACCGUAAGAAUAAGCACCGGCUAACUACGUGCCAGCCGCCGCCGUAA
rnacentral:rRNA from 1 species